GAGCUCAAAUUUGGAAUCUGGCUGUUUUGCAGUCCGAGUUGUAAUUUAAAGAAGUGCUGUCCGCGCCGGACCUCGUAUGAGUCUGCUGGAAUGUAGCGUCAAAGAGGGUGAGAACCCCGUUCAUGAUGAGACUCCCGGUGCUUUGUGUCACACUUUCAACGAGUCGAGUUGUUUGGGAAUGCAGCUCAAAUUGGGUGGUAAAUUCCAUCUAAAGCUAAAUAUUGGCGGGAGACCGAUAGCGAACAAGUACCGUGAGGGAAAGAUGAAAAGCACUUUGGAAAGAGAGUCAAACAGUACGUGAAAUUGUUGAAAGGGAAACGCUUGAAGUCAGACAUGCUUGCGGGGUUCAGCCUUCGGGUGUAUUCCUUCGCUUUGCAGGCUAGCAUCAGUUUUGUGGACCGGAUAAGGGUUUGGGGAAGGUGGCAUCUUCGGGUGUGUUAUAGCCCCUUGCUUGAUACGGUCUGUGGGACUGAGGAUCGCAGCGCGCCCUUGUGGCAUUGGCUUUGGCCUUUUCGCGCUUAGGAUGCUGGCUUAAU
rnacentral:rRNA from 1 species